UACGUAGGGUGCAAGCGUUGUCCGGAAUUAUUGGGCGUAAAGAGCGUGUAGGCGGUCCGGUUAGUCCGCUGUGAAAGUCCAGGGCUCAACCCUGGAAUGCCGGUGGAUACUGUCGGGCUAGAGUCCGGAAGGGGCGAGUGGAAUUCCUGGUGUAGCGGUGAAAUGCGCAGAUAUCAGGAGGAACACCGGUGGCGAAGGCGGGUCUCUGGGCCGUAACUGACGCUGAGGAGCGAAAGCGUGGGGAGCGAACAGG
rnacentral:rRNA from 1 species